rnacentral:rRNA from 1 species
CCUACGGGUGGCAGCAGUGGGGGAUAUUGCACAAUGGGGGAAACCCUGAUGCAGCGACGCCGCGUGGGUGAGGAAGUAUUUCGGUAUGUAAAGCUCUAUCAGCAGGGAAGAAGAAAGAAGGUACCUGAAAAAGAAGCCCCGGCUAACUACGUGCCAGCAGCCGCGGUAAUACGUAGGGGGCAAGCGUUAUCCGGAUUUACUGGGUGUAAAGGGGGCGUAGACGGAAAGGCAAGUCAGGAGUGAAAGCCCAGGGCCCAACCCCGGGACUGCUUUUGAAACUGUGCAGCGUGAGUGCAGGAGGGGCAGGCGGAAUGCCUGGGGUAGCGGUGAAAUGCGUAGAUAUCAGGAGGAACACCGGUGGCGAAGGCGGCCUGCUGGACUUCUACUGACGUUGAGGCCCGAAAGCGUGGGGAGCAAACAGGAUUAGAUACCCUAGUAGUC